GAUGAACGCUGGCGGCGUGCCUAAUAAAUGCAAGUCGAGCGAACAGACGAGGAGCUUGCUCCUCUGACGUUAGCGGCGGACGGGUGAGUAACACGUGGAUAACCUACCUAUAAGACUGGGAUAACUUCGGGAAACCGGAGCUAAUACCGGAUAAUAUAUUGAACCGCAUGGUUCAAUAGUGAAAGACGGUUUUGCUGUCACUUAUAGAUGGAUCCGCGCCGCAUUAGCUAGUUGGUAAGGUAACGGCUUACCAAGGCAACGAUGCGUAGCCGACCUGAGAGGGUGAUCGGCCACACUGGAACUGAGACACGGUCCAGACUCCUACGGGAGGCAGCAGUAGGGAAUCUUCCGCAAUGGGCGAAAGCCUGACGGAGCAACGCCGCGUGAGUGAUGAAGGUCUUCGGAUCGUAAAACUCUGUUAUUAGGGAAGAACAAAUGUGUAAGUAACUAUGCACGUCUUGACGGUACCUAAUCAGAAAGCCACGGCUAACUACGU
rnacentral:rRNA from 1 species